UCAUGCCCCUUCCAUCUCCCAUCCGUCGGUUGCCUCCCUCAGCUCCUCGCCGUUGGAGGAAGACAAUAGGAAAAAUCAAUGAAGCAGAGGAGGCUGAAAAAAAUAAGAAGGUAAGACCUUUACCCACAUAGAUUAACCCUUUAUUUUUUCCUUGUCGCUUCUUACUUUUUUUAUUUCAUCCUCUUUUUCGGAGAUAUGUGGGGAAGGAG
rnacentral:lncRNA from 1 species